CAUGUCNUUUUGAUAAUGAUUUGAAGUCUGGCCUGCUCAAUGAAUAUUAAAUAGCCGCAGUAUUUUAACUGUGCGAAGGUAGCAUAAUAAUUAGUUUCUUAAUUAGGAAAUGGAAUAAAUGGUUUGACAAGAAAAUUUCUGUCUCUUUUUUAUUAUUAUUGAAUUUUAUUUUUAAGUGAAAAAGCUUAAAUUUUUAUAAAAGACGAGAAGACCCUAUAGAUUUUUAUAUUUAAGAUAAAAUUAAAAGUUAGUAUAUUUUUUUAUUUUAUUUAUUUGAUUGGGGUGAUGGGAAGAUUAAAUAAAUUCUUUUAAUAUUAAUUGGUUAUUUUCAAUUUUUUUUUAUCUAUAUUUUAUAAAUAUAAAAUAAAUUACCUUAGGGAUAACAGCGUAAUUUCUUUUUAAAGUUCUUAUUGAAGAAGGAGUUUGCGACCUCGAUGUUGGAUUAAAAUUAAUUUUUGGUGCAGUAACUGAAAAAUUAGGUCUGUUCGACCUUUAAAAUUUUACAUGAUCUGAGUUUAGACCGGCGUGAGCCAGGUCAGAUUCUAUCUUUAUAUUUAUUAUAUAUUUAUUAGUACGAAAGGACCAUAUAUAAGUUAAAUUAAUUGU
rnacentral:rRNA from 1 species